CACACUAUCAUUAACUGAAUCCAUAGGUUAAUGAGGCGAACCGGGGGAACUGAAACAUCUAAGUACCCCGAGGAAAAGAAAUCAACCGAGAUUCCCCCAGUAGCGGCGAGCGAACGGGGAGCAGCCCAGAGCCUGAAUCAGUGUGUGUGUUAGUGGAAGCGUCUGGAAAGGCGCGCGAUACAGGGUGACAGCCCCGUACACAAAAAUGCACAUGCUGUGAGCUCGAUGAGUAGGGCGGGACACGUGGUAUCCUGUCUGAAUAUGGGGGGACCAUCCUCCAAGGCUAAAUACUCCUGACUGACCGAUAGUGAACCAGUACCGUGAGGGAAAGGCGAAAAGAACCCCGGCGAGGGGAGUGAAAAAGAACCUGAAACCGUGUACGUACAAGCAGUGGGAGCACGCUUAGGCGUGUGACUGCGUACCUUUUGUAUAAUGGGUCAGCGACUUAUAUUCUGUAGCAAGGUUAACCGAAUAGGGGAGCCGAAGGGAAACCGAGUCUUAACUGGGCGUUAAGUUGCAGGGUAUAGACCCGAAACCCGGUGAUCUAGCCAUGGGCAGGUUGAAGGUUGGGUAACACUAACUGGAGGACCGAACCGACUAAUGUUGAAAAAUUAGCGGAUGACUUGUGGCUGGGGGUGAAAGGCCAAUCAAACCGGGAGAUAGCUGGUUCUCCCCGAAAGCUAUUUAGGUAGCGCCUCGUGAAUUCAUCUCCGGGGGUAGAGCACUGUUUCGGCAAGGGGGUCAUCCCGACUUACCAACCCGAUGCAAACUGCGAAUACCGGAGAAUGUUAUCACGGGAGACACACGGCGGGUGCUAACGUCCGUCGUGAAGAGGGAAACAACCCAGACCGCCAGCUAAGGUCCCAAAGUCAUGGUUAAGUGGGAAACGAUGUGGGAAGGCCCAGACAGCCAGGAUGUUGGCUUAGAAGCAGCCAUCAUUUAAAGAAAGCGUAAUAGCUCACUGGUCGAGUCGGCCUGCGCGGAAGAUGUAACGGGGCUAAACCAUGCACCGAAGCUGCGGCAGCGACGCUUAUGCGUUGUUGGGUAGGGGAGCGUUCUGUAAGCCUGUGAAGGUGUGCUGUGAGGCAUGCUGGAGGUAUCAGAAGUGCGAAUGCUGACAUAAGUAACGAUAAAGCGGGUGAAAAGCCCGCUCGCCGGAAGACCAAGGGUUCCUGUCCAACGUUAAUCGGGGCAGGGUGAGUCGACCCCUAAGGCGAGGCCGAAAGGCGUAGUCGAUGGGAAACAGGUUAAUAUUCCUGUACUUGGUGUUACUGCGAAGGGGGGACGGAGAAGGCUAUGUUGGCCGGGCGACGGUUGUCCCGGUUUAAGCGUGUAGGCUGGUUUUCCAGGCAAAUCCGGAAAAUCAAGGCUGAGGCGUGAUGACGAGGCACUACGGUGCUGAAGCAACAAAUGCCCUGCUUCCAGGAAAAGCCUCUAAGCAUCAGGUAACAUCAAAUCGUACCCCAAACCGACACAGGUGGUCAGGUAGAGAAUACCAAGGCGCUUGAGAGAACUCGGGUGAAGGAACUAGGCAAAAUGGUGCCGUAACUUCGGGAGAAGGCACGCUGAUAUGUAGGUGAAGUCCCUUGCGGAUGGAGCUGAAAUCAGUCGAAGAUACCAGCUGGCUGCAACUGUUUAUUAAAAACACAGCACUGUGCAAACACGAAAGUGGACGUAUACGGUGUGACGCCUGCCCGGUGCCGGAAGGUUAAUUGAUGGGGUUAGNNNNNNNNNNNNNNNNNNNNNNNNNNNNNNNNNNNNNNNNNNNNNNNNNNNNNNNNNNNNNNNNNNNNNNNNNNNNNNNNNNNNNNNNNNNNNNNAGGCGAAGCUCUUGAUCGAAGCCCCGGUAAACGGCGGCCGUAACUAUAACGGUCCUAAGGUAGCGAAAUUCCUUGUCGGGUAAGUUCCGACCUGCACGAAUGGCGUAAUGAUGGCCAGGCUGUCUCCACCCGAGACUCAGUGAAAUUGAACUCGCUGUGAAGAUGCAGUGUACCCGCGGCAAGACGGAAAGACCCCGUGAACCUUUACUAUAGCUUGACACUGAACAUUGAGCCUUGAUGUGUAGGAUAGGUGGGAGGCUUUGAAGUGUGGACGCCAGUCUGCAUGGAGCCGACCUUGAAAUACCACCCUUUAAUGUUUGAUGUUCUAACGUUGACCCGUAAUCCGGGUUGCGGACAGUGUCUGGUGGGUAGUUUGACUGGGGCGGUCUCCUCCUAAAGAGUAACGGAGGAGCACGAAGGUUGGCUAAUCCUGGUCGGACAUCAGGAGGUUAGUGCAAUGGCAUAAGCCAGCUUGACUGCGAGCGUGACGGCGCGAGCAGGUGCGAAAGCAGGUCAUAGUGAUCCGGUGGUUCUGAAUGGAAGGGCCAUCGCUCAACGGAUAAAAGGUACUCCGGGGAUAACAGGCUGAUACCGCCCAAGAGUUCAUAUCGACGGCGGUGUUUGGCACCUCGAUGUCGGCUCAUCACAUCCUGGGGCUGAAGUAGGUCCCAAGGGUAUGGCUGUUCGCCAUUUAAAGUGGUACGCGAGCUGGGUUUAGAACGUCGUGAGACAGUUCGGUCCCUAUCUGCCGUGGGCGCUGGAGAACUGAGGGGGGCUGCUCCUAGUACGAGAGGACCGGAGUGGACGCAUCACUGGUGUUCGGGUUGUCAUGCCAAUGGCACUGCCCGGUAGCUAAAUGCGGAAGAGAUAAGUGCUGAAAGCAUCUAAGCACGAAACUUGCCCCGAGAUGAGUUCUCCCUGACUCCUUGAGAGUCCUGAAGGAACGUUGAAGACGACGACGUUGAUAGGCCGGGUGUGUAAGCGCAGCGAUGCGUUGAGCUAACCGGUACUAAUGAACCGUGAGGCUUAACCUU
rnacentral:rRNA from 1 species